UUUGUUAAUUGUUCCACCUGAGCUAGCAUAUGGAAGUAAGGGAGUUCAAGAAAUUCCCCCAAAUGCGACAACAGAGAUAGAUGUUGAACUGCUGUCCAUCAAAACAAGCCCAUUCGGGUGAGUGAAAGACUUCCAAGGAGUUUCAUGUACUUCAACUCGCAGGAAGAGACGUUGGCUAAAUUUUGAGCGACACUCUAGUUAAGUACUCGUUCUUAUGCACAUUUAUCUUAUUAUGUAUUAUGUUUGUAUAUAUUGAGUAUCAUUGUUUAUGGUUUUGCAGGAUUUCAGGAAGAUAUUUGUGGAAAAUGAUUCCGUAGCAGAAAAGGCGCUCAAUGUUUAGAAGUAUAAUCGUUAUUUUUGAUAAAUAUUUUGGUGAACAUUUUAUGUUUGUAAU